rnacentral:rRNA from 1 species
UGAGCAAUCUGCCCUUCUCAUCGGAAUAAGCGUUGGAAACGACGUCUAAUGCCGAAUACGACCUCCUUUCGCAUGAUCGGAGGUGGAAAGCUCCGGCGGAGAAGGAUGAGCUCGCGGCCUAUCAGCUAGUUGGUGUGGGUAAUGGCCCACCAAGGCGACGACGGGUAGCCGGCCUGAGAGGGUGACCGGCCACACGUGGGACUGAGACACGGCCAGACUCC